rnacentral:lncRNA from 1 species
AGGAGCCGGCGGCUAAGGCGGCCUCGGGGAGGGAGGCAGCGGCCACCAGCCAUUUUCAGCUCCAGUGGAGCAAAGUUUGGAGUCUGUAACCAGGAGGGG